UUUCUGUGUCAUCCAGCUGUUUAACCGACCCUUUGUUGCUUCUUUCUCUCUAUAUACUCUUAAGUCUUCUAUCUUCUUCUCCUCUCACCUCUCUGUCUCUCUCUCUCUCUCUCCUCCCGUUUCUCCUUUCUUGUGAAUUCGAUUCCUCCAGUUUCGGCCAGCCGUCUCCGAUGCUUCCGUUCGGUCUGAGUUUGUUGUUUAAUUUCCUCCAUUAAAGCAGCUUCUUGAGGAAUGGUGCUGAAAAUCUCAAUGAUUUUCGCUCUUUUGAUUUUGACCCAAGAAAGGGAAAAAGAGGAAAGAAACUGCCAUGAACGGCGAUGGAGGUAAUGGUGGUGGCGAAGUUUCUGCCAUCAAUUUUAUGAAGCUCAUAAACUUGUAAGGGUGUAUUCUUAUUCUUUUUCGACUUUAUACAACCCUCAAACUAAAUUCAAGCAAUUGAAAAAAAAAAUUCUGGAAGUCUGGGGUAUACACAAUAGUGGAGCAGCAACUACACCAAUUCCAGCUACUCGGAAUUGCCGGUGAUGUCCCUUGCUCACUGAGGUUGAAGUUGUUGCUUAAGAUAUUUGCAGGUAUCCUCUCUUUAAUUUGAAGCGAUGUAGAAUUCUACCAUCACCACAACCUACGCCGCCGCAACUAAACUUGAACAACAAGAAUGGAGCAUCAAAAGUGAAAUGCAUGGGUCGCGCCUCAACAAUCAGAAGAAAUGCAACUUGAACCUUCUCCUGUCGAACAAUCACAGUUUGAAUUUCAUUUCCAUCCUCGCCGAAAAAUGAGACAUUCGGCUCAGCACCCGGUGGAAGCGAUUUAUGAGCAGGAGUUGAAAUCAAUAAAAUGUGUAAAAUGGAGAUGUGAUCGACAGUGUGUGAAUCCUCCACCAGCACCUCCAUUGCCCGGUGCACAACCUAAGAGGGUUUUGCUUAAGUCCAAGGGCAUGUCAUCUUACAAAGACCAAUUCCUUGUAUGCACUGCAAUAACGGAUUUGUAUGACCGCCUUUUUGAUGAAGUUUAUUGAGCUGAUGUUGUCAUUCAUAUACAUGAUGGUAGUUGGAUUUAUGCCCAUGCUAAUAUAUUGGGUGAAGGAAUCCAAAGUCAAAAAUCGACGCAAAUCUACCACCAUUCAUGGUGUUCCACGUGAUGUGGUUUGUGUUUUCAUUAGAUUUCUCUACUCUUCUUGGUAAUAUAUUGCAGUGUUUCAUUUUUAUAAAAUUUUAUAUAGUAAUAUUAUAUCUUGUGAAAGCACAUUAGUUUUUGCAUGUUGAUUGCUGUGUUUUUGCUGUCAUUCUACAGCUAUAACCCAUAAGAUAUUGAGGAAUAUAUUCUGCACCUUGUGAUAUUGUCUCAUGUGUAUGUGGUUCCUCAUUUUAAAAUAGAGUGUGAGGUACAGCUGGAGAACGACUUGCUUAACAUAAAGAACAGUGUCGAUGUUUUCCAGCUUGUUCUUCUAUGUUAUGCCCCUAGGCUCACACAAUCCUAGAAAGAGAGUUUCUAGCAACUAUGGCCGAAGCUGAUAGAGUAAGUAUACACUUAUUCAUUUUUAAUCGUAUAUAUAUGGUGCUCCAUGUUUGUCUACGUUAAUUUUUAUUUGUGAGCAUAUUUUCAUUUGGUCAGUUUUGGACUAAGCUCAAGUUUUGACCUCUUAUAAGUGGUUAAUUUAUAUAAAGGGAUCUAGAGAAAAUGGGAGGAAAGUAAAAGUAUAUUUUUUUUUAUAUUUAACUGAACCAUUUUUUCUAGGUUUCCUUAGAUGCUUUAAAAUUGAUUUGGGUGUGAAUUUUUUGGCAUCAAAGAUUAGGUGCGACAGUGACAUUAGGUUUAUAAAAUUUUGUUUUCAAUUAGAGUCAGCGUAUAAGUUGAUUCAAGUGAAAUUAAGGUGGUUGUUGCUACUGUCAAGACUGCUGGAGCAAUUGCGGAGGUUUAUUCUGUGGAUUAUACAGGACACUAAGGGCCUAUUCUCUUACGUUGAAAUUCAGUUCAGUUCAGCUCAGCUCCUAAUUUCCUUCUCUUAUAAAAUAUUCAUUUCAGUUUAGUUCAGUUCAGUUCAAUUAAGUUCAGCUCAAUUAAGUUCAGCUCAAUUUAGUUCAGUUCAGUCCAGUCAAUGAGAACAGGACCUAAACAUGUUUAAAGGAGUUUCUGAUGGUAAAGGGAUACUUAAGAAUUGGGUCAUCCAUCUCUAAUUUUGUUCUAAUAUUCAACCAAUUGGUUUUGAAUAUUUGUAGUAAAAUUUUCCCCUUAAUUCAUGGUGGUGGACAUUGGUGUUUUGUAUCGGCCUGAGAUAUAUGUUCAGUUAUCACUUUGCCGAUUCGGAUGUAAUAAGCACCGUUAUUAUUACCUCAGUUUUUUCUGUAUGCCUACUUGAUUCUUUGGAGCUUUCAGUAUGUGACUUUGUAUGUGUUUGUGUGUUUUGUUCUGGUUAGCAGAGCCUUCGAGUUCGCAUUUUGCAUUUAUUAAAUUUUGGUAUUGAUGGAGUGUGAUUGCUAUAUGAACAAACAAUGAUUAAAUACUCAAACUAUCAAUUUUGCUGGUAAAGUGUAAAGAACUAUUUUAAGGAGAGCUGCCACCACUUAAUGAUUCCCAUACUGAACAGCUUCCGUCAAGAUGUUCGAAUUAGAGGAGGUAAGUUGUUUCAGAUGAUUGUAGCUUGUUGUGGUUUUAGAAAGGAGAUUCUAUAUCAUUAUCUCUCUCAUCUGUUCACCUGAUAUAUGAAUAUUGAAUUUCUUUCCUUUUUGUUCGAGUUUUCAUUGUGGCAUUUUGACAAGCAGUUGGGGUACAUGCUGAGGUUGUUAAAUAGAUGUUGGAAAAUUGCUUUGUGGAUACAAAUUUUGGCCUCGCACAUCUGGGAUUUUACUGGGUUUCUGAAAUAAGUACUUUGUUGUUUGAUUUAGGAUUUUCACAAAUUGUUUUGAGUCUAUGUAGGAUUAAUGGAAAAAUGGUUAAGGAUAUAAUGUAUGAACUUAAGCUGAAAUUUGAUCAUUAUAAUUGAAUCCAUUUGGAAAUCUGGACUAUGCAACUGCCAAGUGGUGUUUUUGACUUAGAUUUCAUGUUGGGAGUUCAUAUGGAGCUUUCGUGACUAGGCAGUGAAUAUGAGUAUUAGGAACUUAGUUGGCUGCUUGCACUGUGAUUUCUCUGUGUGCAAAUUGGCACACCCUGGUUACACUCUUAGCAAGAAAUGUUAAAAGCUUAAUCUCAAAAACAAGAAAUGUCAGCAAGAGCAUUAAUCUUCUCUCUUAGCAUCUGAACCUGUUAUGUAAAUUAUUCCUGUUCAUGUGAUCACAUGUUGAAUGUUUCUUCUCUGAGGCCUUGUUGGUCACUUACAUGUGCUAUAAAGCUUAAAAAUUUGUAAGAAUGUGUUUUACAUUGGCUUCAAUCAAUUUGUUUUAUUUAAUUCAAUUAUUAUUAUUUUUUUAAUUUAUAAUUUUCAUUUUUGUAUCAUUAUCAUUUAAUCACUGAGGUUUUCAUGGACAGUUUAAGCUGGGCUCUAAUCUACAGGGAAUUUGAACUUGAAACUGAAACUAAAUGAAUCCAACCUUUAGAUAUCAGACCCCAAGUAAAUCCACAUUCUAACAAGUGUAUUUUAUAGUCUAUGGUGAUUAAUUUUUUUAGGACUUGAGAUUUGUUUUUUCUAAAAAAAUGAAGCAUAUUGUGAAAAUUUUGUGCCUUUUGAGAUAGAAAUUUAUUUAUCAUAUUUUUCAACCUUAACUGUAAUAUAGAUUUUAUUAAUGUAGUAUAUACAAUGUGUUUUCGUUAUGUUAGAGAAAUGACUCAUUCUUUUAAAACUUAAGUUUGUUCGUUCACAUAAGUUUUUCAAAUUGUGACUCAAUGUUAGAGAUAGUGAUGUUCGUUUA